AGCUCUCAGUUAUCAAAGUUCUCUCUAUGAAGUUGGUACAUUCUUUAUUGGAGGGAAAAUAAUGCAGCAACAAUUUCUGACUGGUGAUCAAAUGGACCAGAUCAGAUGUAACUGCCACGAUAACUUCAGUGACUGAAAGGAAUCUAAUCUAUUCUCACUUUAACAAAUAAGAAACACGAUGGAGGUCAGACGGGUCGGAACAAGAGCACCAACUUCAGGUUUUUAAACAGCAGCCAGACUCCAGCACAGUGACAUCAUGGGGGGCGGAUCAUCUACUGCAUCUGGGUCAAAGGAAAACAGGUCUAGGGGGACACAACCUUCCAGGUCAGAGGAAGACAGGUCUGAGGAGACGCCACCUGACAGGAACACUGUGUCUGAGGACCUGCCACCUGACAG